AAGUCGUAACAAGGUUUCCGUAGGUGAUGAUUUAAAAACUGUUCGGCGAUGAUUUACCAGAGAUUGCCGGUUUAUGACGUGGAUGUAACUCGUACAAUGAAGGUUACAGGGGGUUUAACGUUGGAUACGUGUUAAUGAUUCAGAGACCUCUGGGAAGGGUGUACGGUAGUGCGAGGCAAUUGACCUGGCAUUCCUCUGCUUGUUAGUGUCUGAAAGUGUCACUAGCUAUGUACGGAUGGCGCAGUAACGAUCGCUGGAGGCCGACACGGCCGGCGACCAGGUCACUGGGCUACGGCCCCCCUGAUCACAACCUUUGCAUGAAAACGGGCCUGCGCUGAGGUGCGGCCACCCCUAAUGCUUGAACAACUGUUAACAAUGGAUAUCUUGGUUCUC
rnacentral:misc_RNA from 1 species